ensembl:lncRNA
CUAAAGCAGGUCUAAACCAGGACUAAAGCAGGUCUAAAGCAGGUCUAAAGCAGGUCUAAAGCAGGUCUAAAGCAGGACUAAAGCAGGUCUAAAGCAGGUCUAAACCAGGUCUAAACCAGGUCUAAAGCAGGUCUAAACCAGGUCUAAACCAGGUCUAAAGCAGGUCUAAACCAGGUCUAAACCAGGUCUAAAGCAGGUCUAAACCAGGUCUAAAGCAGGUCUAAACCAGGUCUAAAGCAGGUCUAAAGCAGGUCUAAACCAGGUCUAAAGCAGGUCUAAAGCAGGACUAAAGCAGGACUAAAGCAGGACUAAACCAGGACUAAAGCAGGUCUAAAGCAGGUCUAAAGCAGGUCUAAAGCAGGACUAAACCAGGACUAAACCAGGUCUAAAGCAGGUCUAAACCAGGUCUAAAGCAGGUCUAAACCAGGUCUAAACCAGGUCUAAACCAGGUCUAAAGCAGGUCUAAAGCAGGACUAAAGCAGGUCUAAAGCAGGUCUAAAGCAGGUCUAAAGCAGGUCUAAACCAGGACUAAACCAGGACUAAAGCAGGUCUAAAGCAGGUCUAAAGCAGGUCUAAAGCAGGUCUAAAGCAGGUCUAAACCAGGACUAAACCAGGUCUAAACCAGGUCUAAACCAGGUCUAAACCAGGACUAAACCAGGUCUCACCACACUGGUCGCAGGGGAACAUGUGGUCUGGGUCCUGGUCUUGCUUGGCCCUCAGUUCGUGGUAGUACAGGUGUCUCUUGAGCGUCCCCUCCUGGUAGAAGCCUUUAUUGCACUGGGGGCAGGGGUGGGGCUUGGCGUGGCUCGCCUUGUGCUUCUGGAGCUGGUGUCUCUGGUGGAAGCCUUUGUGACACUCGGAGCAGAAGAAACGUUUGUGUUUGUAGAGCUCCCUACGGCGGCGACGCUCCUCCUCGCGCUGCUCCUCCUCGCGCUGCUCCUCCUCGCGCUGCUCCUCCUCGCGCU